rnacentral:lncRNA from 1 species
CUAAAUUUUAUUUUCUAAGCAUAUAACAGUCCAUUGCUGCAUUAUUAAUGGUUUUGGUCAUCGCAUUUUACGGACAUAGACAAAGCCACAUUCUAAUAUACCUCGGGAAGAUUAAUUUUGGAAGAUUUUUAAAAGUUUUAGCAAAUUUUAAGAUCAUUAGAAGAAUAAAUGGAUAGCAAUUUAUUGGGAGCAAGACUUGCAUAGACGGAAAAAUAAUACAAACACACACACACACACACACACACAC